AUUGAACGCUGGCGGAAUGCUUUACACAUGCAAGUCGAGCGGCAGCGCGGCCUUCGGGCUGGCGGCGAGCGGCGAACGGGUGAGUAAUGCAUCGGAACAUGCCCAGUCGUGGGGGAUAACACUUCGAAAGAAGUGCUAAUACCGCAUACGUCCUGAGGGGGAAAGCGGGGGAUCGCAAGACCUCGCGCGAUUGGAGUGGCCGAUGUCAGAUUAGCUAGUUGGUGGGGUAAAGGCCUACCAAGGCGACGAUCUGUAGCUGGUCUGAGAGGAUGAUCAGCCACACUGGGACUGAGACACGGCCCAGACUCCUACGGGAGGCAACAGUGGGGAAUUUUGGACAAUGGGGGCAACCCUGAUCCAGCCAUUCCGCGUGAGUGAAGAAGGCCUUCGGGUUGUAAAGCUCUUUCGGCAGGAACGAAACGGUGGGCUCUAACAUAGUCCGCUAAUGACGGUACCUGAAGAAGAAGCACCGGCUAACUACGUG
rnacentral:rRNA from 1 species